rnacentral:rRNA from 1 species
ACUCCUGCGGGAGGCAGCAGUGGGGAAUAUUGGACAAUGGGCACAAGCCUGAUCCAGCCAUGCCGCGUGAGUGAUGAAGGCCCUAGGGUUGUAAAGCUCUUUCACCGGUGAAGAUAAUGACGGUAACCGGAGAAGAAGCCCCGGCUAACUUCGUGCCAGCAGCCGCGGUAAUACGAAGGGGGCUAGCGUUGUUCGGAUUUACUGGGCGUAAAGCGCACGUAGGCGGACUAUUAAGUCAGGGGUGAAAUCCCGGGGCUCAACCCCGGAACUGCCUUUGAUACUGGUAGUCUUGAGUUCGAGAGAGGUGAGUGGAAUUCCGAGUGUAGAGGUGAAAUUCGUAGAUAUUCGGAGGAACACCAGUGGCGAAGGCGGCUCACUGGCUCGAUACUGACGCUGAGGUGCGAAAGCGUGGGGAGCAAACAGGAUUAGAAACCCGAGUAGUCCCA